rnacentral:rRNA from 1 species
UACGUAGGGUGCGAGCGUUAAUCGGAAUUACUGGGCGUAAAGCGUGCGCAGGCGGUUUUGUAAGCCAGAUGUGAAAUCCCCGGGCUCAACCUGGGAAUGGCAUUUGGGACUGCAAGGCUCGAGUGCGGCAGAGGAGACUGGAAUUCCUGGUGUAGCAGUGAAAUGCGUAGAUAUCAGGAGGAACACCGAUGGCGAAGGCAGGUCUCUGGGCAUUAACUGACGCUGAGGAGCGAAAGCAUGGGGAGCGAACAGG